GACGAACGCUGGCGGCGUGCUUAACACAUGCAAGUCGAACGGAAAGGCCCUGCUUUUGUGGGGUGCUCGAGUGGCGAACGGGUGAGUAACACGUGAGUAACCUGCCCUUGACUUUGGGAUAACUUCAGGAAACUGGGGCUAAUACCGGAUAGGAGCUCCUGCUGCAUGGUGGGGGUUGGAAAGUUUCGGCGGUUGGGGAUGGACUCGCGGCUUAUCAGCUUGUUGGUGGGGUAGUGGCUUACCAAGGCUUUGACGGGUAGCCGGCCUGAGAGGGUGACCGGCAACAUUGGGACUGAGAUACGGCCCAGACUACUACGGGAGGCAGCAGUGGGGAAUAUUGCACAAUGGGCGGAAGCCUGAUGCAGCAACGACGCGUGCGGGAUGACGGCCUUCGGGUUGUAAACCGCUUUCGCCUGUGACGAAGAGUGAGUGACGGUAAUGGGUAAAGAAGCACCGGCUAACUACGUG
rnacentral:rRNA from 1 species